CAGGUGCAGCAAUGCACCCUAGAGCGGCGGACUGGUGAGUAACGCGUGGGUAACCUGCCUUGAGGAUGGGGAUAGCCGCUAGAAAUAGCGGGUAAUACCGAAUACGUCCGGCCGCUUCCGAGCGGCCGGGGAAAGGGGCUUCGGCCCCGCCUUGAGAUGGGCCCGCGUCCCAUUAGGUAGUUGGCGGGGCAAAAGCCCACCAAGCCGAAGAUGGGUAGCCGGCCUGAGAGGGCGAACGGCCACACUGGGACUGAGAUACGGCCCAGACUCCUACGGGAGGCAGCAGCUAAGAAUAUUCCGCAAUGGGCGAAAGCCUGACGGAGCGACGCCGCGUGGAUGAGGAAGGCCGAAAGGUUGUAAAAUCCUUUUGCGGGCGAAGAAUAAGCGAGGCAGGGAAUGGCCGCGCGAUGACGUUAGCCCGUGAAUAAGCCCCGGCUAAUUACGUGCCAGCAGCCGCGGUAACACGUAAGGGGCGAGCGUUGUUCGGAAUUAUUGGGCGUAAAGGGCGCGUAGGCGGCCGCGUAAGUCUGAUGUGAAAACCCCGGGCCCAACCCGGGAACGGCAUUGGAAACUGCGGGGCUUGAGUCACGGAGGGGCAGCCGGAAUUCCUGGUGUAGGGGUGAAAUCUGUAGAUAUCAGGAAGAACACCGGUAGCGAAGGCGGGCUGCCAGCCGAUGACUGACGCUGAGGCGCGAAAGUGCGGGGAGCAAACAGGAUUAGAUACCCUGGUAGUCCGCACUAUAAACGAUGCACACUAGGUGUUGGGCCGAGCGGCUCAGUGCCGGAGCGAACGCGAUAAGUGUGCCGCCUGGGGAGUAUGCCCGCAAGGGUGAAACUCAAAGGAAUUGACGGA
rnacentral:rRNA from 1 species